GUAUGUGAAUCGACUCCCCGUUUCUUGUUUUCUUGUGUCCUACGGCGUCUCUUUUCUCUUUUUUUUCCACAAAACAGUUCUGGUUUUUCCCCAAAAAAUUAUUAUAAAUUCUAUCUUCGAGAAGAUCUGCGGACGAAAAUAUGUGGAAAAAUUGGAGGGAGGCGAGGCCGCGAGAAAUCGUCUACGUCGGCUCCAAGAACGCCUCCCAAGUCAUCUACAGGAUCUCUCGCCCCGUCGCCGAUGAUCCUGGCCAGUUUAUUCCUGCUAUAUAAGGACAAUGUCCAGAUGGGCAGCAGAAGUUGUUACCUUCAGCCUAUAAGCUGCAAACAUUUGACUGCUAUGCACAGACAGGACUUGGUCAUGGCUCAAACGUUCAAGGCUUUGAAACAACUACAAAAUAUGAUCUCAAGUCUGAUGACUUUAUCAUUUACGCCUUUACUCUUAUAUAUAGAAAAGGCAGAUGUCGUUUAGAGAGGAGCAGGAUUAGAGAUUACCUGCUGGUUGUACCGCUCCAUAGUAUAAUGUAGAUAGAGGUUUAUACAUUUUGGUGUAAUGUAAACCUUCUGUUGUACAUAGUGUAUAGUUACAGUCAUAGAUCCUAUUGUGGAUAUGGGUUGACUAUGGAUGGAUUGGGAAGCAGGUAUAAAUAUAUAUAUAUGUACAGAUCAGUUGUGUGCCUGUGAUGAUGUAUUGCGAUAUCUUGUCUAGGUUUAUAUUGUAGCAGGUUACAUGUGCUGCUUUGAUAGGUGGGGUUGUGUAUGUAUUGUUAUAUCCUGACAGGUUAUUAUAGGAAGAGUGAUCAUUUUGUGCAUGCCUCAUGCCAAAAUGUUUCAGAAAUUUGUUGAUAUUUGUGAUAGGUUAGUAGGGUUCUACGCGGUGGCUGGUGGCCUUAUGCCUACCAGUACCCUAGGAUCGUCGCGGCGGCCCGCCGGAUCAGGGCGGGGGUCGUGACAAGUGGUAUUCGACAAUUUGAUUUUGUGUGAAUACCAAGAGUGCUGAUGAGUAGUGCUGCAAAUGAUUUGAGCUUCUCUUGGGCAGCUCGGGCUCAUCUAAGCCCAGGCUCAGGUCAGCUAGAAAAUGAGCUGAGCUCAAAUACUUUUUGGAGCUUUUGGAGCUCGGCUCAUAAUGAGCCAAGAUUGAACAUGAGCCAGUUGCAGAAAUAAUGGAUAAGCUUGGAUCAGCUCAAUAAAACCUCGAUGCAGUGCUUAAAUCAGCCAAGCUUCAAAAGCUGAAGUCAAGCUCAACUUGAGCACGAGCUGAGUUUCUGAAGGUCAUAUAUAUAGCAAGCAGAGCUCGAGGGGCCUGCUAUUCAGCUUGGUUUGGCUUGUUUACACCCUUACUGGUGAGGGCUGUUCUAUCUUUCUUCACUUUUUCUGCUUGUGAUACCCUAGCUCAUCCUUAUUGUGUUGCAUCUAAGUGAUAGACUGAUAACUAUGUAAACUAUAUCUGGCAAUGCGGUUUCUUUGAUGCUCUAUCAGUUUUUUCUCCUUCCAAUAAUCACAGGAAACAUGAGUUCUUUGAUGAAUGGCCUAAUAAUAAGUUACACAGACAAAGGUUGAAUGGGGUUUGUCUUUUACUGGAACCCUCUUUACUUCCCUCUCUAAACAAACUUGUUAUAGACGUUGGUUGAACAUAUAUCAUCCCUUAUGUUGUAUGUAAGAAGGACAUGAUUCAUAACAAUUUCUUUCAUCGCACAUUUAUAGGGAUUAAAUGACAGGACUUUGAUUACUUUAGGUCUAAAUUGGUUAGUGACAUGGUCAACUAGAAAAUUCACUCACCACUUGGGAUAUAGACUUAAUUGAUCUCUUGGGAAACUGUUUUACAUAUUGGCUGGAACUUUAGGAGUCCAAAAAAUGAAAGGAAAAGAAUAAUGUCUUUAAGAAUAUUAAUCUAUUGGUGGGAUGAUAUCUAUCAUUAAUUUAAGAGUUAUGACAAAACUGAUGAUAGUUUGGAACAAGGUUUGCCGUACCGGUCGGUGCGUACUGACACUUGGUACGCCGAACCACCCCCUAUUACAAGCGUACUGACACUGCAAUAGGAUGGAACCAGUAUGGGGACUAGUACUGAGAUGGCAAACCUUGGUAUGAAACAUGACUUCUUUAGGAAGACAAACUUUCUGCGUGUGGCUUCAAUACAUUCCUGUAAUGUGGGAUAGAUCGUCAAUAAUGGCUUCAGAUAAAGGUUCAAUUUUGACUGCUUAAGCUGUUAAGGCAUGAAAUAUAUGCAUAUUUAUGAUUUUAAUUUUGAUGUUAUUUCUCUCUUGGGGUCAUCAAACUAUGGGUAUUAAGUGAUGCUCAGACUCUGCCUGGCUUUAGGCAGUAAAUAAUUUCGAUAACUUAGUGUGGUCCAUCUUUGUUGACAAUAACUUAACUAUGAUCAUGUGGUUUUCUUCUAAGGCAAGCAACUUUGGUAACUUAUGAAUGAUGCAAGGACAUGAAUCCAACUAAGAAAGAACUUCCGUUGUAAGGACAUAAACCUGACAGAUGAAGAAUUUCCUGUGCAGAGCUCAUUAUGUCGAGGUUGAUUCUGUUGUCAACAAUAUUCUUGUUGAGAGAAACAAUGAGAGAAAAUUUAUGAUUUAGACAUGCUAUCACUCUAUUGACAAAAGAAGACAUCUUGUUUUUAUGUAUACAGUGAUGAGGAAGCUCCAGCUGAUCUGUUAAAAGAAUGAGGAUUCAUGAUCACCUUAGGAAAGAUGGAUAUGCUGCAAACGCAGAAAAUUGUGUUGGUUAUCAUCUCAACUAAGGAACACGAUGAUUUAGCAAGGAUCAUCUUACACAAAGAUGGAAAUUGGAUUAGUAUAAAAAUAUAUUGAUAUUAUUGCGAAUUAUGGAGAGGUGGCUUAGUUGCUAGCUGCUCUAGAGUUUAACAAAAAGAAAAAGAACUUUAGUUCUGUAAGAUAUGCAGUAUACUGAGCUUUUAUCUUGAUCAUUUGCUGCUAUGUGCUGCAAGUUUCGAUUCCUUAUGGUAUAACUUUUUUCUCCAUGUUGAUGUGGCCAAGUCAACUAACUUCUACUCUAACUACUUCCCCUGUUAUUUAUAUCUUUAAAUUAUUUCUGCUGGGCUGAAUAGAUAAUUCUGUGUAGGAUCCAUGAGUACCAGAAACAGUAGACAGUUUAAACUGUUUCACAUUAUACAGUGAGAUGGACCGUGCAAGGAUGGACCGUGCAAUGGUUGUGUCUGAUGUAUAAUAUAGGAAAAUGACCAACUAAGGACUCUUGAGUAGGGAGUCUUCAUUACUAUGUGCCAUGGUGUGCAGGUGGGCGGGCAUUUUGGGUGGGGGUUAGAUAAAAGAAAAUUUCGUAAUGCUAGGAACUCUAUAGACACACACACACAAACAAAAAGAAAGGCAAAAAAAAAAAAAAAUCAGAAGAUCUACUUGCGAGAAACACAGAACACUUGUUAGAUCUACCUGCCAGGGCCAGAAAGCAAGUGAAAGAUCUAGCUGCAUAAUUAGUGCUGCAAUAUUGACACUUACCAAUAUUUGUUAUGAGAAUAGCAUGGCAUUUCUAUGAAGCAAUUAAGCAGUUGGAAUGUAAGAAUUUUUAAACAGGAACUUAUCUGCCUCAUGAAUAUGUCUGGACCUUAUUUAAGUGGUAAUGAUGAAUAUCUUCUAUGAAAAAUAAAACCGUACAGAAACUUCAGGAGCUUCAAAUUCAUCCCUGAGUGCGCUGAGUGCUUAGCACUGAAUUAAUAAGGGGUCGAGAGCAGCCAGCCCUAGAGGUACCACACUAACAGUUCAGAGCAUGCCAUCUGGCGUAAGCAUCUGGAUAAUCUGGAAUGCGACGUUUUCUAACAAUCUGAAGAAGAUGGGACAGCAAGAAAUUGCUGAUAAUGGGUCUAUCUGCUUAUUUCAGAGUACACAGAAGUACUGCUUUCAAGACUGAGGAAGGUAUUUGGCAACGUGAUCAUUUUAAAAUAGUGCACUUUUGGUGAAAGACAUGUCUAGACUGAUGAUAAUUUUGAAGCAGGGCAAUUUUUGUAUUGGUUUUUAUGAUAUUUAACAGGAUUUUUUGCUGUAUACACUUAAUAUAUAUCGAGUUAGAUGCAAACCUAUCUGUAUGCCCCACUUUAUGAAACAUAUUAGCUAAUUGAUUACGGUCUUAUUCUACAGAUUUCAUAAAUUCAUGUUUUUCUGAAAAAUGGUGGACAUGGAUGUAUUUCUGUACUAUUAAUAGCACCAUUCAGUUGCAAGAUAUUGUGCUUUUGAUCUUUUGGUGAAGAAUGGUAUUUUGUGGGGCAAGAGGGUUUUUCGCUGUUUAAUAUUAAUGUGUAACAAGUAGGCAUAAGCCUACUCACACUCAAUUUUGAGAAAGCAUUUGAUCAGGUGUAUUGUGGUCUUAUGCUAGUGAUUUCACAAUUGAUGUUUUCUGAAAAAUGGUAUCGCUGCCGGCAUAAUUCAGUUUCAAGAUAUUCUUCUUUUGAUCUAUUGGUGCAGAAGGUCUAUGGUAGUGCAAGUUUCUUCUUUUCGCUGGCUCAUGAAAGCUUACUCAUAUGCCUUCUUUUUUGUUUUUUUUUUUGGUUUGAUAGAAGGGCCUGUCGGCAAUGAGCUACACAAUGGGGGUAGCCUCCCCAAAUACACCUAGUCCCAUGAAAAUGUUGUUGAUUGUUUUUUUAUGUGAUGCAACCGAACCUCAGAUUCGCUCAACCUUAAAUUUAUGUUGGACCAUUUUGACAUGCCUUGGGUCUGUCAAUUAUCUGAAGCCUUUUCAAAUGUGCAUGAAUCCAAAAUCAAGCUAGUCAAGAGGUGAGCCAGGAGUUUAGAGAACUUUCUGGCAAAAUAUCCAGACCUCCAGCUCACUUAUAAGAAGCUGAAGGAGGAAACUAGAUUCCCUUGACAGGGAAGUUUGACAGAAGCUCAGCUGAUUAAAAAGCAAAAAAUUUACACAUUUGCUAUUUAAUUCUAUCUGAAGUCUCUGAAUUAAGUCUUUUGGAAGCAAUGCUUUCUGAAUGAGGAAAAGUAUGCAAAUAGAGAAAUGUUUGGAGGAAAGGGUGAGGUACAUCUUAUCGGCUUUCAAGUGCACAAGAUGGGAGCAUGAGGUAUAUCAACUAGGAAAUAUGAGGUAUAUGAAUUUUACUGAAUCACCAGAUUCUCUUGAAAUAAUGCAUUUUUAGGCAUAUAUUAUCACCCUGUAUGUUAUAGUUUUGUGAUCCUGCAAUGAUCUCUUCAUGUCUUUGACGGUUAGUCAAUGAGAUCUAAUUGGAAUUCCAGCAGAGAUAUAUCAUUGAAAUGCUACAAAGUUAUAAUCAUGUGCCUCCAUUAUGCGUGCAAAGCUAUUACAAUGAACCUUGGAAGACUACUGGCUUUGAUGCCAUAUAAGUUUGCAGCAGACAGCUCACACAUAACAUAUGAGAAACUAUAUUCAGGAGCAUUGAUGUAAUAUUCACAUGAUACAAGUGUAUGCAGUCUGUCUGUAUUGCAUACAUAUAAUUCUCUAUUUUCAAAAGAAAAAUGUUUUUGUUUGUCGCCUUGUGUAAUUCCAUGUUGUAACUGAAUUAAAGUUUUAAUUGCAGAAUGUAAUUGAAGAGCGCUGAAAACUUUCUUGUGGUCACGGAUGUCUACGUAGCAGUGGCCUUCCUGAGUUAUUUGCUGUAUAUUCUAGUGCCAGCACAUAUAAAGGAGGCAAUGUUCUUUUGCUUCUGCAGGAUUAAAGAAGACACUUCAGCUUAUUCUUGCUGCAAAUGCGCUGCAUGACCCACAAUUCAUAAAAGAUGCUCUUCACAACCAAGUUCUACGAUCUUCAUGCAGUGUGACAAGUUCCUAACAUUCUCUACUAAAGGUUUCCUGAGAAGUUGCAACAGGACAUUCAAGGACAGGGGAUCCAAGAUCAGCUUCAAAGCCUUUGCAAUUUAUGCGUGCGGCAAUCCAAGAAAGAUGCAUUAGCAAAUGGGCAGCUUAGAGCUCCAUAUUUCCAGAUCUUUCCUAGUGCUGGAGUUCUUGUUCACACAUUUAAUUAGACCAACCAUCACCUGGGCUCUGUCCUUGCCUUCUUGGCCGCUAUGAUGGGAAUGUUCAUCCUGUCUAUGAAAGAGCAUUGGAGGAACCGCUAAAUGGAUUGGUUUUGCCUGAAGGGUACCAUGAAUACAUGUAGCCUGUUCCUAAUCCAAGACUAUGAAUGUGAAGACGUGGUUAACAAGUAUACAAGUGUAGCGUCAAUCAACACUAGGAGUUAAUCAUAUAGUGAAAAAAAUCAUAUAUGCACAUACACUAGGUGCCAUUGGAAAUUUUUUAAUGAUAAACCGUUGCAAGCAUAAUGUGCCACAGAUGCCACAUUCAGCUAACCUUGGAAAGGAAGAUAUAGUGCGACCUUUUCAUUCAUAAGGAGUGGAGAUGGGAUACUGUGAUGAUCAUGCAGCUUUUCGGGCCUCAGUUGGUGGGGAGGAUUUUAGCUAUGCCGGUUUCUAGAGGAGGAGGAUCUGAUAGAAGAACCUGGAGUAUGAUUUACAGAUCCAAAGUGUGGGCUGCUGAUUUAAGUGAGCUUUAUAGAGUUGAGGCUUCCCGAUCAAUGGAUGAUGCUUGGCUGUGAAAGCUUCGUGUUCACCCCAGGAGGGUCUUGAGUAGACGGAGAGUGGGACUCUAUCCCUAUUGUGAUGUGUGUCUGGAUAUAAUGGAGUCUAAUGAGCAUGUCCUUUUCCAUCGCCCGAGAGCAGUUUAGGUGUGGCAACAGGUUGGUUUUGAACAAUGCUUCCUGCAGUCCUCGAGCUCGGUGGCAGCCUUCCUUAAGUAUUUAAAAGGUUCAUUUAUGAGAACCUCCACUAAUAGCGGGGGUGCCAAGUCUGCUUACACUACUUAUCAUAUAUGGCUGGACGGGAACUCCAAAAUUUUUGAGGAGCGGUAUCAGAAUAAUAGGGAGGUAGCUGAUAGUGCGUUCCUCUAUGUCGAUGACUUCUUAUUUGCGCGGCUUUUUGGAGGACAUGAGAUUGUGAGGGACUGAGCUUCCCACAUAGCUGUUGGAGUACCUUGGAUAAUAUUCGUCGCUUAGGAGGCCCCAUCCCCAAGCUUUCUCAAAGUAAACUUUAACGGCAGCAUGUCUGAUGACGGGAGGAGAGAAAAUGGUUGGUUUUGUGAUCAGAGAUGCUGAUUCUAGAUUGGUCGCUGCUAAAUGUUGUUGGCUCUAUGACACCUUCGUUUCUGGAACUGAGCUCAGAGCUGCUUGAGAGGAUUACCUACGUGCGACUCAUUUUGAGGGCGGAUCGGGCUCACCUGAAAAGGGACUUGGCGACAGUGAUUGGGGAGAUCUAGUGCUAUACUAGAUUUAACAAUGAGCACCCAUUGUUGCAGGACAUCCACAACCUAUUGAGAGAAUGUGUGGCUACCCAGGUCAUCCAUGUAUAUCUCGAGGGGAACGAAGUUGCUGAUUGGAUUGCAUCGUUUGUUGCACAACACUCUGGUCCCUGAAGUUGUAAUAGCUAUGAAACUCCACCUCUCCUCCUCCACCACCACCUCUUUUUUUGCUUUCUUGGAUGUAUUCAUAGUAGGACAGUGUGAUAUAUCCGGUUUAUCAAAAAAAAUAAAGAAAGAUAUAGUAGACAGCUUACAACAAACUGGUAAUGAUAUGGAUGAGGUAAUUGAAUACUACAUUGAUAUCAUCUGUGAUCUAAUUAUUCAA